rnacentral:lncRNA from 1 species
GCCUUCUACUUACUUGUUUGAUUCUUUGACUAGCUUCUUCAAUUCUGAUUUCCAGAGCUAUACCUCUGUCGAUGAUCGGUGCAUUUUCUUAGCUCUCUCAGCUCUCUCAAAACUAAACAAAACUUCCUUUCUUCCCUUUCUUCUUCAAUAGGAUAAGGAACAGGGCGAACGGAAGGAUACUCCAGCAGAACAGGAACUGCCCCUUCUGCUACAACAUCUUCUGCCCCGCCCAAUCCUUGAAACUUCACUCUUGUGCUUUUCUAUUUGGGACAGUAAACAUAGGCUCUUUCAUACCUGCCCUCUAUUGCUCCUAUAGUAGUCUAAGUUGUUAUUCUAAUACGAAGACGGGUUAACUAGUGACCAAUUCCAAUCUAAGUCAAAAGUGUAGUAAAACUAUGAUCCAACUGGGGGAGCUUCUUGCUUCGGUUCGGCAUCUAUCUUCUCUUUUCACUCAAAUGUUACUUCCUUACUCUCAACUCGAAGUUAAUCAAUGGAAUCCCUUGUUGGUGUGGGUAAGAUAGGUAGGUAGGCUGGCGAGGGAUGUUCUGAGUUUAGUUCGUAUAGCCCAGAUUCAUUCUGUUACUACUGAGUUUCAUUCUCACUUUGGAGUUUAGAGCGCAGUUACCCUCUGUUACUAGGCUCGGGUAGUUUACUUACUUGUGGAAUUCUUUCAUUCAGUAAGGAGAUACUAAGCGGUCUUCUUCAACAAAACUUUCUUAUCGAGCUAAGGGAGAGUCAAGUAAGUACUACCUAUUUGCAAUUGCCCUCUGAUAGGAGAGGUCGGGACUGGUCUUCAAGGGCAGUUUCGUCUUCAAGUCUUGUUUCGGGUGUUGGUGCUGCCACUGUUACAGUGAAUAAAGUCUGGUGAGAAGAGGUUUACUAUCAGAUUCAAUCAAUCUAUACUAAUCCAAAACCAAUGAAGGCUAGAUCCAAUUCUGUAACUUAUACUUCCAAUUUCACUUACGCCUUAACCGUGGGCAUUCAUUUGGUCUUCACAGUUUAAAGAGAAUCCGCAGCAGUUAAGAGAAUAAGAGGCUUAGCUCCAAUCUUUUCCUGAGGAACAAAAAGAACAAGUGUUAAUGCGAGUUCGGCGCAAGACUCAGUGUUGUUAGUAGGUGUAAGCAGGUCUUCAAGUUCAAGUUCAGAACAAGCUUAGGCGACUACAAGAUCUGCAUUAGCAAGAGGAGCAAGUGAGGAAGAAAUUGAUGUUUGAGUUUGAAGAGCAGGAGUAGAAUCAAGAUGAUAAGCAGGAUAAGAAUCUUCAUCAGGAACAGGAACUGGAGUUUGAGCAGGAGCAGGAAAGUCUCUCGGUGUUGGUACAUUUCUCAAUUAUAGAUGUAUAGGCAUCAGCUCAUAAAUGAAUCAAAGACUCUAAGCUCUCCAUCUGGCGUGAAAGCCUUGCCUUGCCUUAAACGAUAAAGAAGCAAGCCCUGUAGUGGUAGUCCCGGUAGUACUAGUGGAUUUCUGUUACUAUAGGGUACUCUACUAGUGAAUUCUUGUACUUAUGAGUGCCAUUCUCCCUUUCGGUAGGAGUGGUGGGCAAAGAAUAUCUUAUACUUAAUGAGUUAGAUGAGAGCCGUUACUUGCUUAGUUGACAGAACCAGAAUCGGAGGUAUACCGGAUUCCGGAGACGAACACUUUUCUAAUCAUAUAGGAGUAUUCCAACUGUUUUAAGUAAACACCAUUCUGAAGUUCCAUUCCAGGAUUCAAUAAGAACCAGAGCAGUACUACCAGGGGCGGGCAACCACUGAGGAAUAGAAGCUUUAUCGGAAGCAGGAAGUUAAGAGUUUCGUUCGGAUAGCCCUGGUUGACCCUUGACCCUUAAACUAGUAGUGUUGACCCUUGACCCUUAAACUAGUAGGCUUUCAGCACCUUCCCCACUGCUCGAAGUCAAGUAUUUCGUUUUUGUCUUUUUUCUGAACUUGUAAAUUCUAUCUUAUAAAUAAUAACAGAUCUCGGAAAGAGUAGAAGAUAGGCUCUUGCUUUUGUCUACUUAAGGGAGUUGCUAAGGUUAACUUCUCUAUUGACUACUUGCUUAACACAAGCAGAUGACCUAGACCUUUACGCCAUAGUACUACCGGUAUUCCACUAUAGCACCGACCUCUCCUCUUGCUACUUCUACUUCCAACCGAUAUCCGGUCUUCAACUCGUCAAUAAAACCCGGAAAACAACCUGCCGCGCAACUAACUAUGUUGCUUGCCCCACUGCUUUUUACUCUUCCCCGACCCGACCUCUUACCUAAGUAAACUAUACCUCAGGCUACAAAUACUGUUAUGACUCUGGACUCCUCUACUGCAGACUUGAUAACAACUGUCUUAAUUCUUAAAACACAUUGCAAGUAGGCGCCAAGUGACUCGUAUACACCUCUGGCUCAUCCAACUUCAUUCUUAUCCCAUGCCUCAUACCUUCAUUCUGACUUGCUUCCGUAUCAAAGCCGCCAAGCAACGACUACAAAAACAGCCUUUUUCCCAGGAGUCGGAAGUAGAGCAGAAGCGGCAGUUACAAGAUCAGAAGCGGCUUUAUCAUCUCUAAUCUAACACCCAGCAAGCCUACCUGACCUCUCAACAGGACCAGACCUAUACUUGAAGACGAAGGAAAAGGAGCAUUUCUCUCUCUUCUCUUACCUAGCGCCCGACCUCUCCUCUAACUCUUCACUCUUGCUCAUCUACUUCUCCUCUGAUCUUGCUCCAAAGAAGCUCUUAACUACUCUACUACACCUCUUGCUCAUAACAAUUCCUUUCCCCUUUGGAGUAAGUAGCUAGGGUCUUCUACAGGCUGGGGAGCAAAGUAAUAAGGCUUGGGGUCCACUAAGUCUAUUAUGAUUAGUAAUGUUAUAAGCUUGAUUAGUGGAAGUACUAGUUUGGAGCAAGUCAAAAGCAAGGCGCAUAGGCAGUAAAAGGGCUGUUUAGGUAUCAGUCAAGUCAGAAUAAAAGGUAAUCAGCUAAAGGUUUCAAGUGAGUAUUAGCAUUCUUUUCUCAUAGGAGCUAUGUGAGAUAUCAGUUCUUUUCUCACUAGUUGGACUCCAUUCCUGUAUGCACUAGAUCAUACGUACCAUAUAUUCUUAUUCCUAUUAUUAUAUUAUAUGUUUAUUAUAUUUGGUGUUAGUAUAGUAUAUGCUAGUGUAGAUGCACUACAUCGUACCCAGAGUUUCAAGAUGGAAUAAGCGAGUAAAGACCAAUAGUAUAGUAAUGAGUUGGCGUAACUAUCAUUGCUGAACCCACCAACAAAGCCCUAAAUAAGAAGUUCCUCUUCAACACCCGGUUCAUUCUUCUACUUACUGGUUUAAGCCUUAAGUAUGCAUAUUAAGAAGCAGUGAUAGAUGCCUACAUACCUAUAGUAGUACCUCAGAGAAUCAAUCUCACUAGCAUCAAUCUGCAAUAUCACUAGCAUCAAUCUGCCUAGCGCUGGUAUCAGGCUUACUACCUAACAGAUCAGUCUGAGUAGCUUCCAACCCGCCCCAUACUAGCUACCCCUGCUUGCAUUCUGCCACUCCCUAGGUUGAUUCUUUGACUACUGAGUUGCCCUAGAUGCUGAUACUGACUAGUGGAAUUCCUAGCAAACAAAGUACCUUCUUCUAACUCUCCUCUUGUACCUACUAAUACAGGAUGAAACUACUGAGCUGCUUUCUCAUCUCCUAUAGAAUACGAAUACCUCUGGCUCACUUUCAUUCUUACUGGAUAGUUUCUUUCUUAUAGUUAUUAGUGGAAUUCCUCUACUUACUAGUUCAAUGUACUAGAUGCGACAGAUGGGUCAUAGUCACUGGAUUCACUUUCCUCUACUCUGGCUAACCUUACCUGGCAGACUGGAAUUAUUCCUUUAACUACUUAGUUGCCGGCUACCUGGUAUUCCAAUAAGAAUAACAGACCUCAAGAACAGCAUAUCAUCUAUAAUACCCUGGCUGGCACUCGACCUCUACAUUCCUUCCCACGCCUUAACCCUACUUGAGAACGGGAACUAGACUCAAAUCUUACUGCUUACAUAAACUCUAGUCGUUCCUUGGCUGAUAGCAAAUAGUAGAUUGCCUCAACUCGUCAACUGGGGAUGAAAACCUAGCUAAAGAAGGGAAUGAAACUCACAAGUGGGAAAGUGAGAGACAAGCCUGUACAAGAGGAAGCAGUUAGUUUACCAAUUUCUAUCAGUGAUGCGGGGUUACAAAACUCCAUCUCAUCUAACACCCAGCUACUAGAGCAACAAAUAAAGGAUAUACUCAAAAGCUAAAGCUCAACAUCAAAAGAGCACACAAACGAAAAGUCAUCUUAUCCUAUCCUUCCUUAGUAGGCACUAUAACGCUAUGAAAGCUAUCUUCCGAAGAUCUAAGAAUCAGAAAAGAUAUAGAGAGCAACCUUCACGUUAAGAAGAAUUUUGGACUUGAAUAAGAACCAAUGGCCUAAUGAAUAUCACUUCGAUCUGUUAAUGGAAAAACACCUUCUUAUCGACUGGGGUUUGCUUGUAAUCUUAUCUUUAAGAGGCCAAUCAAGACCAAGCUGCUACUAAAGUAUUGAAAACCUAGUACACAAAAAACACUCAUCUUCGAAAUGCUUAAGAGUGUUCUAAACAUUGAUUUCGCUAGUGCUAGAAGGAAUGAUUUUACGGGGGCACACGAUCACUAUGAUCUUUGUUUGAUUAAUUUGCUAUUGCUGAUGAUAGUGAGCUAGGGGAAAAUAUAUAUCACUUUAUUAAGGAUGACUGAUCAAACUAGGGAUGAAACUAACAACUACUGGGCUAUCCGACUCCCAUUCCCCGGAUUCAGUUUACUACACCCCGGAUUCCGUUUCUUCCGAUCUAGCUUAGCUUCAGUUGAUUCUACCCGGCCAGGACUUGAUUCUCUUCUGGCCAACUCAGUUACCAAAACCCCUUGAAACCAACACCGAUGCUAUGUCUUCCAAUUCCAUGAAAUUCUUAUAUUUAUUGCUCUAGUACAUUAGUAGUCGUUUGCCCCUCUCUGUAAAGGAGAUACCUCUCAGUAAGGGCACAAACAGGAUUAGUUGUUGAUUGGCCCCUGGUAGAUAAAGUAGUCGCGAACACAAGACUUCACAAUUACUUUCUUUGUUGCCAGAGUUCGGGAAGUAGAGAAUAGUUGCUAGUAGGCCGAGAAAGAGCACCACUAGGCUAGUUACCCAUAUCUAUUAGACCCCAGCUAAGGAUUAUGGUUCCCCCGCUGUCAGUAAAUUCUGACUUCACUACUUUCGAUAAAGAGCAACCAAGCAAACCUUUGCAACGUAGCCGAGAGGACAAGCUGUAAUAAUUGAACUCAUUAGAAACCCAUAGUCAACUCCCUUACUUUAUGGCAGCUUCUUAUCGUUCUUGGCAUUCGGCUUCUUUUCGUGUUAAAGUAGAAAACGGAAUACUAAAUUAGCCCAUAUGCCUGCUUGGUCCCUACUAUAUUAUAUAUUAUCUUAUAUUAGGAUUACAUUGCAGGUAGGGAGUGACUCAAGUGAACUUCUUUUGCCAUAGGUAUAGAGUUAUCAGAGUUUAAGACCUGCCCCUUAUUCUUAUUUGUUGAAAGAGCCCAGGUAGCCAUAGGUAUUGUAGCAAGAAACACAGGAGCCUAAGCCUAAAGUGGGAAAGUGAGAAUUCCACUCAGUAUACAGGACCCGCUCCUGCCGCCCGAGCAAAGCACUUGUGGAGACUUUCCUUUGACUGUAUGAACUGAAGUGCUUACGGAAGUUAGCCCGUUAGCUUUGGGGAGUAAAGGAAUCAAGUACUUAAGGGCUUUUGGGAUCCCUCCUUUAUUAGUAUGAAAGUAUAAGACCUGAUGGAUAGUUUCAUCCCGAGUUUCAUGUAGUACUGCUUCUGUUCUUGUUUAAUACCGAGAGGGAGAGUUGAAUACCUAGUGGAGUCUUCCGUUUAAAAGUAUGGGUCUGGUUCUGGUUCUUGUUGCAUCCCGGUAGUUGUAGUCCCAGUAGUUAGUAGUCCUGUUCGAGUGAUAGUGGAAUCCCCUGUUCUUGUUUAACCCCGGUAGUCCCGGUAGUCCUGCUCCAGUUCUGGUUCUUGCAAAGACAGAUUCAAGUCAAACACCCGAGACUCUCCUUUCUUUGCCUUUGUAGUAGUUGGUAGUAGUGGCAGGGCGUCUAGGAAAGGUUUACUUGUUAUAAGCAAUGAGAAAUAUUACACUUGGAUCUUUCGAGCAGUAGGGCUAGUUCAGUCUAGACCGAUAACUUGACUUGCUUCUUUUAGAACUAUGGAUUGCCCCUCUUUGCCUUUGUCUACUCACUACGCAGCUUGUUCCAAUGUUACUAAUUGAUGUACUUGUUUGGUCAGGUUCUUAAAGGCCAGAGUGCUAGGUAGGUUCGGGUGCUUGUGCUGCGGUAAGUGAAUGCCCAGUUACAGGUUACAGUGGAGAAUUACCUGCCCCAGUGCCAGUUAGAGGAAGAGCCUGUAGUUGUAGAGUGAACUCCCCAGUUCCUGUGAGAAAGUAUGGUUAUGAGUGGUAGGCCAAGUAGUGCUGUUAAGGAGGUAGGCGAGGUAAGCAGUGAAGUAAGAAGUAGAGGCUAGAGUGACUAUAGGUAGAUGAGCCUGAGUUAGCUGAGCUAUAUGUAUAGGAGCCGAAUGAAGUUAAUAGUUCCGAUGGCAAGGAAGCACUAUAGGGAGCAAGAGGCUAGGCUAGUGGUGGAUAACCAUAAGUAGGAUCGAUCGGGAUCUUCAGCUGUAUCAAAGGAACUGGAGAGGAAUAAGUGAAGUCGACGAUAAGUAUUACCGGCAGGGUUUAUAGGACUAUCUUACUUGCGCUGAAUCACGGUUCUAAAUAGAAUAGCAAGUGACAGGUCGAGUCAGGUGUUGUCGGUUCUUAACUGAAAGGCUCGUUUUCGUCUUCAAGUGUAGUUCCAGAGCAUUCUUUCUCUUGACACUUAUGUUAGUACUGAACUGAGUCUUUCCUAGUAGCUCGUCCGCCUGUCGGGCUAGAAAUGGAACUGCAAGUCAAGAGUCCGUAUGCGCUGAGUUAUUACAAUUCCCGUUUUCUGGCACCUUCCUUGUCUGCGAGAGAGCACUUGAAAGCUAGGUUCCGGUCAGGUAAGAUGAAUAAGAUAUAUUCUGGACAAUCAAUCAUAGGUGUUAUAUAAAUAGUUGCCAGCUGCAAUCAGGCCCUUAUAGUAAGCUCUUGUUUGUGGAGUGAGAGUUGAAGAAGUUCUCCUAUAUAAAGAGAAGAGCCGAGUCACUACCAGAGGAUUUACCACAACCCAAAAGUGAGCCGGGUGAGGUAGCUCGUUGUCUGCAAGGGAAGAAAGGAUCUAACUUAGUUGACUUUCACCGAUUAGAUUAUAGCUGACUUACCCAAUGACUUAUGGGCACAUGACUCGCUUCUAUUUCCACUUUCUAUCCAUCUUGACUUACGAAAUCCUACUGAUCAUGCGAGAAACCUACUGAUCUUCCGAUAGCUUUUAGGGGCGCUGAGACAUCUAGAUACAGGACUUGCUCAUAACUCCCUAAUGGUCGUUAUUCGUUGCUGCCGCGCAACGUUAGUAGUUGCUUGGCCGGAUGUUACGAAUUAUCGGUACGCUUUUGGGAUGAUAUUACAAGGGUUGUUCGGAUGCUUGUGUUAAGCAAUGAGGAAAAGAUAUAAUAGUGGACCUGAGUCAAUCGAGAACCGAACACCUUCCGCUACACUUACUAUGUUACUUGGCCCCUACUGAAUUCUAUCUUACUUAUAUAAGAGAACAGAAGUUGGCCCCCGCUUCUUAUAUAGCUAUGUACCAGACUCAAACUAGUGGUACUAAGACUUAAUACAGUAACAACAAGACUGAGGCCCCGAUACACAAGAUCAGAAUGCAACUCAGUAGUCAAAGAACCAAUCCACUAACAGCCAGAACGGGGGCACCAACUAGCAGACUGACACUCAUCAGGCAGAGGCUCAAACCGGGACGAAACAGACUUGAUGGUAGCAUAGUUAGAAUGGAAGCAGUGCCACUGAGAACCAAACCCCGGAGUGCAAGAAUGAGCUACCGUCCGCUCAGACUUAAGCGAGUGCCGGUUAUAUUAAGUUCUGAAGCUAGGUAUACUCGGAAUGAAGCUAAGGGAGCUGGGGAAUGGAGCUAACCCUUAUUAUAAUUCACUCAUAACCAAACCAUCCUAUUGAUUGAUGAGGGGAGAUGAAGGGACUAGACCAGGAACAUACGUAGCUGCAUCGAAGGACCAAGUCAUAGCCAAAUGCCCACCCCAUGGCUUAUGAGGUAGAUUCAUCUGGUCGGAGGACUAGCCAAUCAUGUGUGUGGGGCCAGGUUCUUUAAGCAUAGGCUGUAGAGCGCUAUAUCACACCAAAGGAGACCUUUUUUUGACCCACCUGCUCCAUCUAUAGUUCCUUUUCCCGGAUAAGAGUCUAACAUAGCUAUAUAUAACCUUUGUAGGCUUGCCUGAUAGCCAAUAGUAGCCGGACCGGUAAGUCAACUCAAUUCUUAGAGUAGGGAGCACAGGGUUCCAUGAAUUGGAGUUCACAGAGCCGAGGUUCAGUAGAAAGUGAAGUUUAGAGUUGAUAGUUGCAUUCUGUGUUUCAUCUGUCUUUGUUGCGAGUAGUUGCUAGUUGGCAUUUCAGAAUCAAACAAGUCAGUAGAAGACUUUGAAGCGGGGUGAGUUAGGUCAUAGAGAUAAGAGGGUUCCGUCGUAAGCUGCUAGUGCUGCAAGUGGGAAGGAAAUCAGACUUGGAUAAUGGGGGGUGUUGGCUAGUUUCUUGUUGAAGGGAGAGAGAUUCUUUUGUUUCCGUUUAAGGAGUUGAUUCAAUCAGGCACUAAUAAAGAGAGAUACAAUAUAAGAAAACUACCCAAGGAGAUUGAGGGUAANNNNNNNNNNNNNNNNNNNNGUGAAAGAAUUCAAACCAAUUCCCUGAUCCUAGGUACUAGAUCAGAAUUUCACAUAGUUCUAGUAGCUAGAGGAUAGGUUGAAGUUCAUGUGUUAAGCAAAGAACAAAUCCAUAUCCUUUUUUGUUGGGUUUAAGCAGGACUUGGUUCUAACUGAGUUAUAAUACAUCUAUGUUGUUGUUCCUGCCGCUACACUUACGUAGUUACUUGGCGAGUGGAUAAUUCUAUCUGUUAUUAUUAAGGAUGACUGAUCAAACUAGGGAUGAAACCAGUGCAUCUCGGCCUGAUGCGUGCCCCUACUCUGCUAGGUAUUGGUAUGUAGGAAGUGAGAAUGCAACCACUGCAUCUAAGAACCAAAUAGGGAAGAAACAGACUGAACCAAGGAAGGGCAAGGCUGCACCAAGUAUGCAACAAACAAGACUGAAAGCAGUAACAACAAGACUGAUACCAGUGAGAAACAGGUUGAAACACUGCACAAACAGACUGAGAGUAGGGCGAGCAAGCCUACAACCAGUGCUUCUAAGCCUGAUGCCGCUGCCACUGAUGCUAUAGGUAUUGGUACUCAGAUUGAUGCUCUGUAGCUGGGGUCUCUGUUUCAAGAAAGACUGAUGCUGAGGAGUUAGAGAGUGGAGCUGAUCGGUAUGGGUAUUGAGCUAGUAAGCCUGAUGCCAGUGUUGCUAGGUAUGUAGCUUCAGGGUAGUGGUAAAUUACUAUAAGGUCUGGUGAUUGUUUUAGAGUAUCUUUCUGUUCUUGUGUCGGUUCGGGGUUCACACUUAUGAGAGGUCUAGUCGGGUGCCUGAUUGAAGUCUUGUUCCAGUCAUCAAGUACAGAAGCUAGCCCUGAAGUAAAUGGUGUGAGUGUCAGACCAGUUAGUAGAUCCCUUAUUCUGAGUUUAGUAUCUGAUUUGUAUAUCCCUUAUUAGUAGAUCCCUUAUUCUCAAUCGUAAUAGUAGAUAGGUCGGGCCAUUAUAGUAAGUCGGUAGUAGAUAAGAGACAGAGGAGUGGGAAAGCUGUUUAGUUUGAGUUCAAAGAGCCGGAGUGAGAUUAGAUGAGAGCCUAGCCUGAGCAGAGGUCGAGUCAACCACUUGAUCCUCUCUAUUUGCUAUCCGCCAAGUCACAUAGAAUGUUAUGCGGCAGUCCGGGAACCGGGAACGGGCACUGCUCUAUUAGAAUUUCAAUAAAUAGCUUCCCGAGCCUACCCAUCCAAAAGUGCUUUCUGAGACAAUAAAUCUUCUAGAAAGAAAUGCAUUUGAUUGCCCCUCAUGGGGUGGCCAAUGUCAUAUUUGCUAUCCAACUUAUCAAGAUAUGUUUUAGUGCAUUUUCAGCCCUCUUCUUGGGGGGUUGGAAAUGGAGAACAUGUAUGGUAAGAACGAGUCCCGUGUUCGUCUAGCGCAUCUAUGAAUUAGUUGACUCUUGCUAGCAUAGUUGAAAGAUCAUCAGCCGUUUAAAAGGAAGCAGCAUAAGCAAUUCGAGUUGGGGAAAUGUCUUAUUCUUUUUCUUUGUUUUCCUCUGCGCGAUCAGUAUUUGUUGACAGAGGGGAAGCUUUGAAGCUAUAAGUCAAGAAGUCAAGAAUCCAACUAAGUAGUCAAAGAAGUGGAGUGGUAAAGUGUAAUCUGUAUUAGUAGCCCGAGUUGGAUAAGCCGGGAGUGAUAGUACCAGUAGUUGGCGAUAGGGGAGUUCCCUAGUCUAGUAAGUAUAAGUAACAGCAUGUAACUGGUGAAGUCAAGAAUCCAGCUAAGUAGACUCAGAGGUGAGCUAGUAGGAAAGGAAGUAGAGAAGCCCUUAUAGUAAGUUGCCCUUAUAGUAAUUGCCAAGCAUCGUAGUCAGUUAAGGGAGUUUGGCGAGGCUAUAGUAUGGGUAGGUAGCCAAGAUAACUAGUGGAUCUCGGUGUUGGCAAUGUCGUUUGUCUUGUUGGUUCAUAAAGGAGAGUUCGAAUAUUGGCAAUGUCGUUUGUCUUGCUUGUGUCUAAGGAAGUUUCAAGUCCAGCUCGAAUAGAAGAUAAGUCUCAAGAACAAGCUAUGGAACAAACAAGGUCUUUUCGAAAGAAAGGAAGGGCGAGCUGUUUACGCAUAUUCCAAGUUUGGCUUUGACAAGAACACUUUCCGGAGUAGAGAUAGGUUCUUAUGUCGAUUGGAAAUCCAAAAGUGUAGUUUUUGUUGAAAGAUAAGAAUCCGCAGUAGGUCUUAUAGUUCCAGUUCCAUUUUCAUCGUAUCAAUUGUUUGCGAGUUAAGUCGUAUCAAGCAAGACAACAAUCAGAAUGCGACGCCCACUAUGCUGAACUAGUUGAAACGUAUUGUAUUAGCCUCCACCUACACUUACCCACGGAGCGAUUAAGGGAAUCAGAAAGUAUUGAUUGAUUGGCCGGAGUCAGCUGCAAGUAAAGACAAGAGCCGGGUCAGCUGCAAGUAAAGACAAGAGCCGGGUCAGCUGCAAGUAAAGAAGCUAGUAGGCGAGUUGUUCAUAAGUAGAAGGCCGCUUCUGUUGUUCAUAAGUAGAAGACCGCUUCUAAGUAGAUUAAUGAAAUACCCCAAGAGCUGUGGCAGUUUUAGUAACAUUGGAAGCAUACUUGUUUAAGUCACACCUAUUUUGAGUCACAGCAGGAAGAUGAAACAUCCGAAUCUCUAACUAGGUUCAUUCUUAUACUCAAGAGUUCAAUUCAUUCCAGGCGGGGAGAGGUGAAGGAUAUUGACUUCUUCUAUCUUACCUAGCGUGGGGAGCAAGACUUAUUCCAUUGAUACACUGCCUCUUAUCCAGUUGCUUCUCUGGAAACUUAGGAUUCUCUUUCUUACCUUGUUGACCUAUCCUCUGCCUAUGAAAUAAGUCACAAAAGAAAAAUAAGUGAAGAUUCCCCCGCUAUAGAUCCCAAUCCAGAUUAGUAACAUAAAUGAGUCACACCGGAAGUAGUUCUACCAGAAUUAUACUUAUCAACUUACCUAUAACAACCAAACCUAAACUCCUUAUGAGCGAGUAAAUCUUUUAUCCUAACACUGCCUCCACUGCCUCUGCUUUAGUUUCAUUCUUAUUAGUUGCCCACAGGAGUGAGAUUUGAGUCUAGUUCCCUAUCUAAAGUAAGGUAAGGCACUGGUAAGAGGUAAGCUUCACUUGAGAGUUGAGGUCAGCAAGAGUUAGAGUUAGCCCUUCUUAUUGUAAGUUUCGGCUAGGGAAGCAGUUAGAAUAGAAGUAGGUGUACCAACAAAGUCAGAAAGAAACUAGUUAGUAUAAGCCUGAAACACCGGUGCAGGAAGUCAGAAUUGAAGAAUUAGCUCCUGUAUGGGUAUUGCUGGUAUAACACUUAGAAUUGAACUAAGGAGCCGGGUGCUCUAUAGUCAGAAUGAAACUCAGAAGUCAGAGAAAGUUCGAAUUUCACUUUAGGGUCAUAAACAUAAGAAUUAGCCCUGUGUGAAAGGCAACACCGAGUAUACGGACUCUCUUGUGGGGCGAGUUUAGUCUAGGUUCCUUGUGAGCGAGAACUUACAAUAAGGGCCUUAUUUACCCAUAUCAAUUCUAUAUUUAUUCCAUUUAGACUUAUUUUAGGAGUGAACAGUAAGUACUGUUUUCGCCAUUCUAAAUCCCUACUGGAGGGUUUCCGUUCUUACUUUAUAUUCCUACUAACUCCCGCUUCUAUCAUAUCAUACCUCAACAGCAGAGCAGAUGAUCUCGGCGCAAAGACGGAUGAAACCUAUUACCUCAUUUCUAGUCACUAUUUGAAAGCGACGUUCUUGUGCUCGUUAAGUAUAGUAGUAGCUUGGUACCUAACCUGAUCUUUCAACUUCUUCUUGCAGAUGAUCUUGUAACUAAAGAUUCAAUAGUCUCCUUUCCAAGCACAGCAUUAGCUUCAGCAGAUGAGCAUUCGGCUUCUUCAACUACUCCCGUCUCUUUACUUUACUUAGUCUUGAUCCGAGUCAACUAAUACUCCAUUUCCAUUUCCAUCUCUUGCCUCGAGGUCAAAGUUGAUAGUUUCAAGUCCAGUAUCAAGUGUAGUUCCAGAAGAAGACGCAUAAGAAUUGCCUGGUCCUCUUACUGUGAGAGUAGAAUCUGUUGGUGUAGGCAGUUAAACAAGUCGAGGUCAGGGCAAAAGGGAAGCAGUAUGGAGUAUAAGAUACUGAUAAGGUUACCCAAUUAUAUACAGGAGCUAAAAGGAUUCAAUAAGGUAAGGAAGGCGCUAUCUUCUAUUCUUUCGAGUGGAGUUGUGCCUCUCUUCAGGGUGCCUCUCUUCAAUGGUUGCGAGAACAAGCAAACAAGAGAAUAUCUAAGUCUGCUUACUCUACAAGCAAGGGAAGAAAGAGCGUAAAAAAGCCUAAAUGCCGUGAGCUCCGUUGUGCGUGUGUUAGGAGUGAGCGAUCAGUAUGGACUAAUAGCCUUUACCGAGAGGAAGCUAGAUAAGGUGCAGUUUGAGGCAAUGAGUAGAGAGGGGAUUAGCCCCCAAAAGCCAGGGCCAAAUACACUAUAGGGUGAAACGCCUUAACCGCGAAAUCAAUCAAAUCAGAGGGCAAGUGGUUCGGUUUAAGUGGAAAGCUCAGUUCUAAAGUCAAUCCUAGUUUGCAACUCCAGAAUAUGAAUAAGAAUCCUAAGGUAAAGAAUCCGUUCGAUAUCUGGGUAUUGUCGGUUCAUAACUUCAAGUAAAGGUUAGGCCCUUAUAGUAAGUUGUUCCUAUUGCCUAUCAAAUCAAUCUAUUGGGGGUAGUUCUGAGUAAGCCCACAGAGUAAGCCCGAAGGAAGUUACUAGUGUUGAGUAAGCCCAGAAGAAGAAGGAAGCUAAGCUAUAAGUACUUCAGUAAAGAAUGCAACAGGAGCCUAGCCAGUAGUGGUAGAGAGGGUAGUUUAGAGUAGCGAGCAGGGCUCGUGAAGAAAGUAUGGUGAGAAGAGGUCGGGUCUCAUAAGAAAGAAAGAAGAUCACUUUAUUAGUUGACAGAGAAGAAUAUGGAUGGAUCUAGCACAUCUGGUAGAACAUUAAGAAUGAAACCAACUAGCUAAAGAGUGGAGCUAGUAAGGGUGUCUGGUCAGAAAGGGCAGUUUCAAGGGGAGUUUCAUCUGUCUGGGUGUUUGAAAGGGGAGUUGAACCCUUACUUAUUAAGGCUGCUUGCCCACUGGCUAUGUGUUUGUGGAGACAGAGGACAGGUCUAGUAUAGAGGUUCACUCAUAGGUCAGAGCCAAGACACCAAUAUUGGAAUCAAAUAAAAGAAAUUAUCAAAUUAGAAAAUAGGAAAAUAUGUGAAAAACUACUUCAAUUAGUUGGGCUCUGAUCACUACUAUUUCCCUCCUAAAUUCAGUAUAUCUCUAUAUAUAGGUGAACGGAUGCAACAAGAACUGAGGCAUUCUAUCUAUAGCACCCGGGUUUUGGUGAAGUGGAAUGAUCUGGUUCACUUACUUGCUUGUUAGGAUGGGUAUGCUAGUUGCCAGCUGCUGGGAUUGUUGACUUACUUGCUAGUUAGGGUCGGGUGCCAGAGGUAAGCUUCACUGAGAGGAUAGGUCAGCUUCACUUAGAGUUUAGGUCGGGUGUCAGGUAUUGUAUUAUAGAUGAUAGGCAGUUGCCUAGGAGCCUCAUUCAGUUAGAUGAGAGAAAAGAUCUUCAAGCAAGUAACCAUAAAGCAGGGAACAACCAUCAAGAUUAGAGGCAUAAAGAAACAAACAUAAUGUAUUAAUUGGUUGCUAUGCACGAGUGCUGUCUUCGGGGACUGAUGCCUAGUGGUAUUGAUUCUCUGAGGUACUACUAUGGGUAGCUAAGGUCUAAUAGCUAGUAAGUCCACCGAUGCUAGUGCUAGGUAGUAAGUAGUCACAGAAUAAGAAGGGAGCUACCUAAACUCGGACUGACACAAAGCAGACUCAGAGUGAAUCCAGGGAGUCCAAGAAUGCAACUAUUGGUGCUCAGCCUUAAAGCCAGUAGCUACAUUCCCACCGAUUGCCAGAUGUCCUAGUAGAACUAAGCCUAGGAAUACGGAAUUUCAGAAUGAACCUAAGCAGACUCGGAAUGGAUACCUAACAUGGGGUUUCAGAAUGCAACCAGUGCUAACAAGAAUGAAAGUAAUAGGUCAAAGAGUGGAGCUAGCAAGGCAUAGGAUGGAACGAGUGAGGGCAAGAAUGACACUAAGUAGGCUCAGAAUGCAACCCAUACCACUGAGACUUCAACCGGAGCUUCCAAGCCUGACAUCGGUGCUGGGCAGACUGUUGCUAUUGGUAUUGAUUCUCUGAUGAGCUAGUAUGGGUGUAUGUCGCUAAGGUCUCUAUUCCUCUUCUUACCUUUCCCACCGAUUCCCCGCAUCUAGUUAAAGAAUCAAACUAGCUACUAGCAACUACAGGAAUAAGACUAAAACCACUGCAUCCAAGGCUGAUACUACUCCUACUAAGAAUGGAGCUGACCAAUCCGAGGCUCCAAUCAGUGCUAACAAGAAUCAGCCUAGUGCAUCUAAGCCUGCAGCUGGGUAUACUCGGCCUUGCUCUUGGGUGUUACAGGCUAUCCGGUCCAGGUCACAGAACGAAACAAGGUAGUCCAAGGCUGAUACCGGUACCACUGAGACUUUCACCACUGCAUCUUAGACUUAAACGAGUGCUAGGCAGACUUGACCGAGGUAGUGAUAGAACCAAACCAGUGUCACUCAGGAUCAAACCAAUGCUAACCAGACUGAUGCUAUUAGUUACAGAAUGGAGCUCCCUAAGAUCAGACUCAACCAAGUGAGUUACAGACUGAGCCGAGUGAGUCACAGAAUGAGGCUAUUGGGUGUAAGCCUGAUACUGGGUAGUUACAGACUAAACCAAGGGCGAGCAAGACUUCAACCUAAACUUCCAAGCCAGCUACUGGUGCUGACAAGACUCCAACCAGUGCCACUGCCAGCAAGACUUAUGGUAGGUAGUUACAGGCUUCAACCCGAUAGUCAAAGAACCAAACCAGUGUCACUCAGGAUCAACCCGGUAGCUAAGGUCUCUACCCAGUGAGACAGAGGCCAAGCACUAACAACAAGGCUUCACCUACUAACUAGCAGAAUCAAACUCACACCGAGCAGACUGAUGCGGUGCCUACUAUUCCCUUACUUGCCCACCGAUUCCCUGAGUAUUCAUUAAGUGGGGCUAUUUGCGGUAAGCUAAUCUAUGGUAUGUACUAGAUUCAGAAUCAAACUCAGUAGACUCAGACUGUGCCCCAGCAGUGAAAGAAUCAAACUCACUAGCUACAUUAUUGAACCGGGGAGUCCAAGAAUAAGAAAGGUAUCGGUGAGCUAGGCAGCCAGUAGUGAGUAACAGAACGGAGCUGACGAAACUCAGAAUGAACCGGGUACCAACCAGAAUGAAUAUAGUUGUCGACUUGUCCGUUAGUUGUGAUGUGACUUGGCCCUUUUAAAGAUGCUUGCUAUGCGAGUGAUAGUCUUCAGCCCUCUAUUAAGUCGGGGGAGAGUUGCUAUAGUUGAAUGAGUUGUCGAUGUAGUCCUGUUUUCGGGAGAUAGAGAAGAUACUUUGCCCGGAAAGGAGGGUAGUAAGGCUGGCUGUUGCAAGACUAGAGGUCGGGUCGGGCACUUAUGAGAGGCCCUUAUUGUAAGUUGUUCCUAUUGCCUAUCAAACAUGCCCAUAAAACACAUGCCCGAGCCUUGUUUCUAUUGAUAGGAAAACAGAAGGAGGGGCUUGCCGCGUAACUUACAUAGUUCCUUGGCCGGUAUUCCACUUGGGAUGAAGACUAGAUAACUCGCGAACAGGGGCAGGCUUGAAGCACCUUACUUUCUUGCUUGUUCGGAUGGGACCUUACUUUCUUGCUUGUUAGGAUGGGUAUGAUAGUCGCCUGCUGCUUGGCAGUUGUUAUUCUGACAGUUUCGUUUGAUGCCUUGGCCCUUAGUGCCUUGGCUAGUUGUCUGCUCGUCUCUUCCUUUCGGGAUUCUAUUUCCAUUAACAUCUACUAUCCCAAUAAGAAGAAAAGAGAGUACUGGCUAGGUAGAAUCAACAGAAGAUUUGUGGUUGCUUGCCCUUACUUAUUAAGUCGGAAGAAACAGACUCAUUAGCCAGAGGGUUAUCGGUUAGUAUUGACUGGCAAGCUCGGUCCUCUUAGCAAGACUCAGUGUUAACGUGAGCAGCUUGAUUUCAUUCUUCUUCACUUGUGAAGGGCUUGAUUUCAUUCUUCUUCACUUGAAGGGAUAGUUCGGGUCGGGUGUGUGGGUGCGGUUGAGAGGAUUCCUCCCUUACUUGGACUUGGCACAUAAUAAAGAAGAAUUAGUAUACUGAAUAGAAUCAGUAAUAGGGCCAUAAUAAAUAAUUGCCAGCGGAUUCUAUGAAUAAGUAUAUGCAUAGUUAUAAGGCCAUAAUACAUAGGCUAGUGAGGAAGCAAUGCCAAAGUAAGCAGCAAUAGAAAGGAAGCACUCAGCAAUAGAGAGGAAGUAAGCAGCAAUACGUUCUUCAGGACCAAAAGCGGGAGAAGAAGCAUCAGAGGGUUGUCUUAGAACGGUUCGAGACCAUGCUUUGAGUAGAGUUUAUAGGAUGGAGCUAGAGCUAGGGAUGAUAGAAACAAGUAAAUAGCUUUGCUUUCCUGGUACAGUAUCUUUAGGUUCCGAGUGUGAUCCAUUAGUUAGGAAAACCGCCAAGUUACUACUAAACAAGCAACUGUGUCAAAAGAGUCUUUAAGGUCAGAGGGGCAGUGAAUAAGUCUGUAGCGGAAUUGCCAGUGACUCGGGUAGGCAGGUUUACUUAUUCAUUUAGUUGAGAUGCUCUAGUCCAUAGGAGAGAGAAAAGAUCUUCGUUCACCAAAUCACCAAAACCAGAGGUGGAGGAGCAAUCCAAUACCUAGUUCUUAAAGAAGCAAGUCAGCGCGGAAGGCAGAAUACCCCUUUUGCUAAGUAGAAGACCGGUAGUAGCAGAGUGGAAGACCUGCUCGUUAAGUCUCGUGUUGUUGGCAAAGGAAGGGGAAUCCUCCAGAAUUAUUGUUCCCCGCCUAGGUAUAUCAGUGGAAAUGCAAUUCUUGACUAUACUUCUACUAGAUGCAGAGUAGAAGCCCGUUAGUAGUAGCGAGGGUUGUUGCUCUAGCUCACUCCGGGCAAAGAACCAAAGAACAGGAACAGGAAGGUCAAAACCGGAAUACUUAAUGAAAUGAAACUACUACCGCAGGCCAAGAAAAGAAAGUGAGUUGUUGCUUUCAAAAGAAAAGAGCUAGAUUCUCUUCGGCUUCGGCUGUAUAAGAUGAACCAAGUAAAGCUUCCGAUGAAACUAAUUCCCUUAGAGCAAAAAGAAAGAAGGAAUAUAUGAUUUUGGACCUUAACUUGACUAUCUGAUUGCCCUCACUCUACUUGAAACAGUUUAUUCUCUUUGUAACAUUCCUCGACAAUCACCUCUUUCCACUCAUUCACUAAGCGCUACAUAAGGAAUUGAUUCUUUUACUUGGGCGUACGUAGUUGCUUGACGGGUCGGACUACUCUAUUACUAUACUUUGAGGGGCUGUAAACCAUGGCUAUCUGAGUUUCUCAAUUCCUAAACUGGAACUAACUAUUCUUUAGUUCGCUACCGGGUAACUCCAUUCUUAAAGGAAGCAUCACUAGGUUCAGAGUCAAGAACAGGCGAGGUCUAAUUGAACUAAUUUACUUACCACACCUGGGUUUAGUGAUAGGGAAGGCUCUGGAAAAACACUUAUUGAACCGCGCAGAGUAUAGAUAUAGAUUAGAUUACUUCUUUUUAUGAUGACACUCAGUAUUCAACACGAGCACACCCGAACUUGGACAACACCGGCACAGCGGAUUCUCUCUACCCCUCAGCCUCACCUUUUGUUUGUCUCUGCCUCUGCCUUAGCUUCACCUUUAUUUCAUGCUUGGACUAGACCCGAACACAGGACUCAAAAGAAGGAGUGCAAGAAUGAAAACAAUAACUAUCAGGCUUGGACUCCCCGGUUGCAUUCUAUCACUUAGCAGCUCCAUUCUAAACACCCUAGCCUGGCAUCCAAUACUAGCUACCACUGAUUUGAGUCUUAGUACCACUGUUUGAAGUCUGCUCCCACGGGGGCCAACUUCCAUUCUGAUAGGUGUGAGUUUGAUUCUUAGUAAUAGUAGCGGGAGUCUUGCUAGCACUGGUUGAAGGUUGUCCAGCACCGGUUUGAUUCUUUGACUCCUUAGCAGCAGCCUGAGUAUACCCAGCAUCAAGCUUGGAGUUAGUGCUUUCAGGCUUACUGGGGCACUGUUGGAUUCUGAUCGGAUCUAGCUGAAGUCUGUUACUCCUUAGCUCCAUUCUUAGGUUAACCAGCUCCCGAACACAGGAUUAGAUGCACCGGUUGCAGGCUUGGAUGCACCGGCCUCAGUCUUAGCUGCAGUGUUUCAAGCCUGUUUCUCGCUGGGGUAAGUCUGAGAUGCACUAGUUUCGUUCUGCUUGUUAGUGGUUUGGGUCUUUAACUACUGGGGCUCAGUCUCGUUGGCACUGGGUUAAGGCUUAGAGUUAGUUGUUUAAGUCUGCCUAGCUCACCUCUGACACCAGAACAUAUGAGUAGUUAUCAGAGAAGAAGACCGGAUGGCUAGCUACACUCUUAAUCUGUUACUCACUAGUUCGAUUCUUUUACUUAUUGGUUGUAUUCCUUUUCUCAUUGGUUUGCUCCACUCUAGUAGUAGUGCAUUCUUGUUAACGGUAGGCUUUCAGCACCUUAUCAUAAGAACAAGUAGUAGAGGCACCAUCCCAAGUCUUAUUAACGGGUAGUUAAGCCAAUAUUUCUAGUUUCGCCUUCCUGUAGGAGUUUGCUUGCCCAUGGGUUAUUCUUUUUAUCGGUUGCUAGGAUACUGGUCUCCACUACAAGACCUAUAAGAACGGCUAUAUAGGCCCAAUAGUUUAAAUACAGAAUUCAGUGAAAGGUUAUAAGAAAGAAAAGUCUUAGUAUAAGUUGAAGAACGAAAGUGAGGGAUAUCAGCUUUGAAGCAAGGGGACAAAGGCGUAGUAAGUAAAGCAAGGUUCGGGGGCUGUAGUGACAGGCUAGGUUCCGAGCUAAGGAAUUAGAAGCUGCAUUGCAUUGGUGAAAGUCUGAGAAGCACUAUUUGCACUCAAAGUUUCUUAUUCAAUUGUGAAAAGGUGGGCUAGAUCUUACCCGAAGUUAUAUAGAAUGCUAUAAGGUAUAGUCAGAAUGAGGUAUAGGAUAGUCAGAAUGAGAUACUUCCAGGCGAGAGCGUAUAGUAGUACUCGGUUGCCAAAGCAAAGGUAUUAGGGGUUUUUUCAUGAUCUUAAGCUGUAGAAAGUAUAGUAAGUCAGUUUCAAGUGCAAAAUCUAUUAGUAACGUUAGAGUGCAUUUGCUACUUAUAUCCUUAUUGGUAAAGGAAGAGACAAGUACUACCUUAUCUGCUAACAAGUCUAUAUAGUAAGGAACAGGGAAUGGUACUACGGACUUCAAAGAAGAAACAAGAGAAAUAGAACCAAACUAUUUACAAUGAACCUGCCUUGCCUUUGACUUUAAUGCAGAGUUGAACUAACAACAAGGUGCUUCAAGCCUACCAAGAAAAAGAAUCCAAAUGAAAACUAUAGUAUAGGCCUCUGUCCCACUGGGGACCUACAUCGGACUACCUUAAACCUUAUAGAAAGUAUUUAUCUACAGCCUAUGAGGCUCCUGCUCCCUUCCUGAACUUUCAAUACCCUGCCUUUCCGUCUUUGUUUCACCAGUGAGCCCUUCCACUACUAGCUUUUAGCCUUACUUGUGUUUGCCUCAACCUGAUUAUCCUGGCUAUCGUCCUUACUACCGUGAGUUUCAGUAUGCCUUUACUUCCUUAUAGGCUUACUUGCCCUCUCAGCAAGCUACCUAGAACUUACAUUAUUAAUAACCUGUCGAUCAGCCCCCAAGACCUAAAACACAGGCAAGUAACAACUAGACAAGCAACGGGACAAGCAAGCGGUAGCGAGUUCAAAGCAAAAGUGAGUUCCUCGUUGCGCGGCAGGAACCCCGGUAUUAUCUGCAGUGAAGCGAGUCUUAUCUCUUAGUUUCAGUUUGAUUAGUAUUAGUUCAAUCCCUGUUCAAUGGAGAAGUGGACUAGGUUUGCGCCGGGCAGUACCAUACUACUAACGUUCAAUGCAAACUACUUAAUUGAAUAAAGAAAAGAGAGAAUGUCAAAUAAUAAUAAUAAGAAUGAUGUUUACUGAACACCAGAACAAGAGCUCUUUGAUAGAGAAAAUAAACUACCUUUUUGAGACCAUGUUUCGCUAAUCAAAUACUCUCCCAUCCUUUAUAGGAAAACGAACUACUUAAUGGAAUCUAAUAAGAAAGUAGAUAAGUCAGAAUACCGGCUAGGGUGCAAAGAACGAUAUAAAGGAAAUCCAAAAUACAGCAAUUAGUAGAAGGCUAACAAGUGAACAUAGGAAUUCUUAUCGUGUGAGGGGCGGGCCUAAAUCUAAACAUAGGCAUUAAGGACAUAAGCUUAUAGAGUAGAAAGUAAGCCCCAGAGGCUGUAAAGACAGAAUUAGAUAAAGAAGAGUUAGCUUAG